rnacentral:piRNA from 1 species
GAAAUAAUAGACUAGUUGAUAUUCUCGC